UUUCCCAUGUAGCUUCUUCUACCUUGUGAGUUCUCCACAACACUUUCACUAAGGGAAUCUUCUUAUUUCUUAACUCUUUCAGUUCCCUUGCUAAAAUUUUCACUGGUUCUUCUUCAUAAGUUAAAUCAGACUGUACAUCAAUGGUUUCAGCUGGAAUGACAUGUGACGGAUCAGAUCUGUAUCUUCUUAACAUGGAUACAUGAAAGACAUUGUGAAUUCUGUCUAACUCUGGAGGUAAAGCUAGCCUGUAGGCUACUGGACCCACACGCUCAAUUAUUUCAUAUGGAC
rnacentral:lncRNA from 1 species